AACGAGGCCGACCUGCGGCUGAGUUACCUGCGGAGGGAUCAUUACCGAGUUUACAACUCCCAAACCCCUGUGAACAUACCAAUUGUUGCCUCGGCGGAUCAGCCCGCUCCCGGUAAAACGGGACGGCCCGCCAGAGGACCCCUAAACUCUGUUUCUAUAUGUAACUUCUGAGUAAAACCAUAAAUAAAUCAAAACUUUCAGCAAUGGAUCU
rnacentral:misc_RNA from 1 species